rnacentral:rRNA from 1 species
UACGUAGGGCGCAAGCGUUGUCCGGAAUUAUUGGGCGUAAAGAGCUCGUAGGCGGUUCGUCACGUCGGCUGUGAAAACCUGAGGCUCAACCUCAGGCCUGCAGUCGAUACGGGCGGACUUGAGUACUGCAGGGGAGACUGGAAUUCCUGGUGUAGCGGUGAAAUGCGCAGAUAUCAGGAGGAACACCGGUGGCGAAGGCGGGUCUCUGGGCCGGUACCGACGCUGAGGAGCGAAAGCGUGGGGAGCGAACAGG